AAGUCGUAACAAGGUUUCCGUAGGUGAACCUGCGGAAGGAUCAUUAAUGAAUAAACUUGGUUGAGUUGUUGCUGGCUCUUCAAGAGCAUGUGCACGCUUAAUCCAUCUUUAACCACCUGUGCACCUUCUGUAGAUCUGUGAACUAAAGGAAUAUUGCUGAGCGAAAGUUCAGCUUUCCUUAUGUGAUCAGGUCUAUGUCUUUAUAUACCCCAUAUGAAUGUAUUCGAAUGUCAUAAUUGGCCUAGCGCCAUUAAAAUUAAAUACAA
rnacentral:misc_RNA from 1 species